rnacentral:tRNA from 1 species
GGGGGCAGCUGGCAGGCUGGUGUGGCCCUUGGACUUCAAAUCCAAUGGCGGGCGCUUGCAGCGUCCGCGGUGGGUUCGAUUCCCACAUGCCCCCGCCA